rnacentral:rRNA from 1 species
GGUUGACCUCGGAUCAGGUAGGGAUACCCGCUGAACUUAAGCAUAUCAAUAAGCGGAGGAAAAGAAACCAACCGGGAUUGCCUCAGUAACGGCGAGUGAAGCGGCAACAGCUCAAAUUUGAAAUCUGGCUCCGUGCGGGGUCCGAGUUGUAAUUUGUAGAGGGUGUUUCGGGUGCGGUGCCGGUCUAAGUUCCUUGGAACAGGACGUCAUAGAGGGUGAGAAUCCCGUCUGCGAGUCGGCCACCAACCCCGGGUGAAACCCCUUCGACGAGUCGAGUUGUUUGGGAAUGCAGCUCAAAAUGGGUGGUAAAUUUCAUCUAAAGCUAAAUACCGGCCAGAGACCGAUAGCGCACAAGUAGAGUGAUCGAAAGAUGAAAAGCACUUUGGAAAGAGAGUUAAAAAGUACGUGAAAUUGUUGAAAGGGAAGCGCUUGCGACCAGACCUGUUCCCGGGCGAUCAUCCGCCAUUCGUGGCGGUGCACUCGCCCGGACGCAGGCCAGCAUCGGUUUGGGCGGCGGGAUAAAGGGCUCGGGAAUGUAGCUCCCUCCGGGGAGCCUUAUAGCCCGGGUCGCCAUGCCGCCCGCCCGGACCGAGGACCGCGCUUCGGCUAGGAUGCUGGCGUAAUGGUCGCAAGCGACCCGUCUUGAAACACGGACCAAGGAGUCUACCAUCCAUGCGAGUGUUUGGGUGUCAAACCCAGGCGCGGAAUGAAAGUGAACGGAGGUGAGACCCCGCGAGGGCGCAUCAUCGACCGAUCCAGAUGUCUUCGGAUGGAUUUGAGUACGAGCAUGGCUGGUGGGACCCGAAAGAUGAUGAACUAUGCCUGAAUAGGGUGAAGCCAGAGGAAACUCUGGUGGAGGCUCGCAGCGGUUCUGACGUGCAAAUCGAUCGUCGAAUUUGGGUAUAGGGGCGAAAGACCAAUCGAAUCAUCUAGUAGCUGGUUUACGUC